rnacentral:rRNA from 1 species
GAUGAACGCUAGCGGGAGGCCUAACACAUGCAAGCCGAGCGGUAUUUGUUCUUCGGAACAGAGAGAGCGGCGCACGGGUGCGGAACACGUGUGCAACCUGCCUUUAUCUGGGGGAUAGCCUUUCGAAAGGAAGAUUAAUACCCCAUAAUAUAUUGAGUGGCAUCACUUGAUAUUGAAAACUCCGGUGGAUAGAGAUGGGCACGCGCAAGAUUAGAUAGUUGGUGAGGUAACGGCUCACCAAGUCAAUGAUCUUUAGGGGGCCUGAGAGGGUGAUCCCCCACACUGGUACUGAGACACGGACCAGACACCUACGGGAGGCAGCAGUGAGGAAUAUUGGACAAUGGGUUAGCGCCUGAUCCAGCCAUCCCGCGUGAAGGACGACGGCCCUAUGGGUUGUAAACUUCUUUUGUAUAGGGAUAAACCUACUCUCGUGAGAGUAGCUGAAGGUACUAGACGAAUAAGCACCGGCUAACUCCGUG